GCAGCAGUGGGGAUAUUGCACAAUGGGGGAAACCCUGAUGCAGCCAUGCCGCGUGUGUGAAGAAGGCCUUCGGGUUGUAAAGCACUUUCAGUAGGGAGGAAAGGGUGUAGUUUAAUACGCUAUAUCUGUGACGUUACCUACAGAAGAAGGACCGGCUAACUCCGUGCCAGCAGCCGCGGUAAUACGGAGGGUCCGAGCGUUAAUCGGAAUUACUGGGCGUAAAGCGUGCGCAGGCGGUUUGUUAAGCGAGAUGUGAAAGCCCUGGGCUCAACCUAGGAAUAGCAUUUCGAACUGGCGAACUAGAGUCUUGUAGAGGGGGGUAGAAUUCCAGGUGUAGCGGUGAAAUGCGUAAAGAUCUGGAGGAAUACCGGUGGCGAAGGCGGCCCCCUGGACAAAGACU
rnacentral:rRNA from 1 species